UCAUCUACUCUAUGGCGACUUUUCAGAAAACCCUAAAUCUCAUCCCGUCGCUUUUUCUUCUCCUCAGAAACCAUGUUGCUCACUCCCUCAACCUAAACCUAAAUCGACUUCAUCUUCUCUGAUUUGACCUUUUCAGAAGACAAUAUAGGAAAAGCCAACAACCCAACUGUGUUUCUCAUCCGUCUGCCGACUGAUUCUUCUCACCGACAACUUUGACACAGAAAACCAAAGGAAAAAGGGCAGAUAAUGGCUGUUGCACAAGGGAGGUUUAUUCAUAAGUCGAUGGGAGAGGCGUCGGCGGCUAGGGUUGGGAAUUAUCUGCCGAUAACUCAUGGACAUUUCAAUUUGCUUGCGUCACUUUCCGGUCCCCCGCCACAAUCUUCGAACAACAAAGAUGAUGAUAACCACUGAAUUGUUCUUUAACCGGUAUUGCUUGCUAUCGAUAUGUAUAUCUAUAUAUAAAUAUGCAUGAUGUUUGUGUGGAAGAUUUGUGAAGGCUAGGGUUUAGGUGUGAUUUUAGGGUUUCUGCAAUUUGUUAAAUUGAAAUUGAAUUAAAAUCAAGGUAUGUUAGGUUAUAGAGUUGUUUUUGGUCACCGCUUUUUAGGGUUGGUUAAUUAUAUCCAUUUUUUUCUAGCGUAUAAUGUGGUUCAUAUCGAAGGAAGAAAUCUGAAAUGUGAAAUCUACAGAGGGAAGCUAGCUUAAUGGUUUUGUUUGAAUCCAGGAAGUAUGAUAUGAAACUGCAGGUGUUAGGGGGGGGGGGGUUUACAAUCAAUUUGUGAUCUCUAUUCUCAUUGUUAGAUUAAUUAGAGUUUAAGGUUUCUCUUGAUAAAAUACGAGAAGAAAGUUUCUCGAAGAAUGAUGUGUUUUGCAACACUAUUAAAGAAGCAUUCGAGUAUCUAAUCAAUGUACGUCAGAACCGCCCUGCUGAACUGGUUGCAAAGUUUUUGGACGAGAAACUACGUGCUAGAAAUAAGGGUACAUCUAAGGAAGAAUUGGAGGGCACUCUUGAUAAAGUUUUGGUUUUGUUCAUAUUCAUACAGGGUAAAGAUGUGCUUGAAGCAUUCUACACAAAGGAUCUUGCGACAAGGCUUCUUUUUGGGAAGAAUGCAUCUAUUGAUGCUGAAAAGUCGAUGAUCUCAAAGUUAAAACCGAAUGUGGUAGCCAGUUUACCAACAAGCUUGAAGGAAUUUUUAAGGAUAUUGAGUUAUCGAAGGAGAUUAAUG